AGUCGAGCGGACAGAAGGGAGCUUGCUCCCGGAUGUUAGCGGCGGACGGGUGAGUAACACGUGGGUAACCUGCCUGUAAACUGGGAUAACUCCGGGAAACCGGAGCUAAUACCGGAUAGUUCCUUGAACCGCAUGGUUCAAGGAUGAAAGACGGUUUCGGCUGUCACUUACAGAUGGACCCGCGGCGCAUUAGCUAGUUGGUGAGGUAACGGCUCACCAAGGCGACGAUGCGUAGCCGACCUGAGAGGGUGAUCGGCCACACUGGGACUGAGACACGGCCCAGACUCCUACGGGAGGCAGCAGUAGGGAAUCUUCCGCAAUGGACGAAAGUCUGACGGAGCAACGCCGCGUGAGUGAUGAAGGUUUUCGGAUCGUAAAGCUCUGUUGUUAGGGAAGAACAAGUGCAAGAGUAACUGCUUGCACCUUGACGGUACCUAACCAGAAAGCCACGGCUAACUACGUGCCAGCAGCCGCGGUAAUACGUAGGUGGCAAGCGUUGUCCGGAAUUAUUGGGCGUAAAGGGCUCGCAGGCGGUUUCUUAAGUCUGAUGUGAAAGCCCCCGGCUCAACCGGGGAGGGUCAUUGGAAACUGGGAAACUUGAGUGCAGAAGAGGA
rnacentral:rRNA from 1 species